GCGCCGCUAGCUCAACUGGCAGAGCAGCAGACUCUUAAUCUGCGGGUUCGGGGUUCGAGUCCCUGGCGGCGCA
rnacentral:tRNA from 2 species